rnacentral:rRNA from 1 species
AGAGUUUGAUCCUGGCUCAGGACGAACGCUGGCGGCGUGCUUAACACAUGCAAGUCGAGCGGAAAGGCCCUUCGGGGUACUCGAGCGGCGAACGGGUGAGUAACACGUGAGUAACCUGCCCUUGGCUCUGGGAUAGCUCCGGGAAACCGGAAUUAAUACCGGAUAUGACCCUGUGUGACAUCGUGCGGGGUGGAAAGUUUUUCGGCCAGGGAUGGGCUCGCGGCCUAUCAGCUUGUUGGUGGGGUAAUGGCCUACCAAGGCGACGACGGGUAGCCGGCCUGAGAGGGCGACCGGCCACACUGGGACUGAGACACGGCCCAGACUCCUACGGGAGGCAGCAGUGGGGAAUAUUGCGCAAUGGGCGGAAGCCUGACGCAGCGACGCCGCGUGGGGGAUGAAGGCCUUCGGGUUGUAAACCCCUUUCGGCAGGGACGAAUCUGACGGUACCUGCAGAAGAAGCGCCGGCUAACUACGUGCCAGCAGUCGCGGUAACACGUAGGGCGCAAGCGUUGUCCGGAAUCAUUGGGCGUAAAGAGCUCGUAGGCGGUUUGUCGCGUCUGCUGUGAAAGCCCGGGGCUUAACCCCGGGUCUGCAGUGGAUACGGGCAGACUAGAGGUAGGCAGGGGAGAAUGGAAUUCCCGGUGUAGCGGUGAAAUGCGCAGAUAUCGGGAGGAACACCGGUGGCGAAGGCGGUUCUCUGGGCCUUACCUGACGCUGAGGAGCGAAAGCGUGGGGAGCGAACAGGAUUAGAUACCCCCGUAGUCC